UGGUGCCUGGUACAUAGUAAAUAAUAAAUAUUGAUCAAAUAAAUGAAUUAUUAGUUGAAUGAAGAAUGAAUGAACGAGUCCCUUCUUUUUCCUCCACUGCCUCAUCUGACAAAUAGGAAUAAUGCAAACUACCUUAUUUGCUUUUGGACUUAAAUAAGAAUCUGCAAGUGGAGGCACUUAAUACACUGCUUUGGCCAAUAAAUUCAGUAAAUGGAUGCUAAAUAAAUGUGAAUCUAGCUGAAUAUGAGUGAAAGACUAACUCCUAUGGAGGUUACUUUUUGGAAUAAUGGUAACUGUCAGAAUUUUCUAAUGCCAUGAAGACAGAAUGCUUGAUACCAUAGUGUCACUUACUGAGUGGUAUUUUGUCAGCAGAAUAUUAAUAAACCCACAUUUACACUCCUUCUUUUAUAGAGUGUAUAUUUAAUCAAAGACAAAGUUAUUUUUUUUUUAGUUUUAGAUUUUAGUGAUUGUAGGACAGUAUCAAGGGGAAACUGUUAGUAUUACGGUCCUUGAAUUUUGGCUCUGCCCUUCACUAGUGUGAAUGCUUUAGGAUACUGCUUACUCCCUUAGUCAUCCUUAACUUCUUCCUUUGUAGAAGAAAAUUGUAAAUAGCUAUAUCUCAGAUUUAAUAUAAGAAUUUUAUGUUCUUGUUUUAUAAACCGUAAUAAAUACGAGUUGCUACUGUUCUUUUUACUACUACUUCUACCACAGCCACCACCACUGCCACCAACCACCACUACCAAGUAACAACGUCUUGGAGUUUCGAAGCCAAACUCUAAGGAAAAAAUGCUACCCACUAUUAAUUUUUCUCAUUAACUUUUAGCAGAUCUUGAAAUCCAAAGGGAAGCUGGAACCAGGACAAAUUGAAUUAACUGAUCAUAUCCACUGGCAGAACCCAGAAGCUGCUAUUUCCACCAAUAAGCUGUCCUUUGGUUCCUGUCCCUUUGAUCUCCACAGCCCCUUAGGACUCUCCUGCUGUCCAAGGGAGGUUCCAAUAGUCUGACAGAUCUUUAGGACAGCAUCCCUUAAAUAACAAGCAGGUGGUUGCCUUGCAAGUGAGAAGUUAUUGAUGACCCACAUGGCUAUUCUGUUGAUGAUUCAUUUUCUGUUUCCUGUCUAUGUGCUUUUCAGAAGGCAAGCAAGCAGUUUUACAUAAAUCAAUCUUUUCCUAUCGAGCUGACACUAUGUCAAGGAAGUCUGAAGAUGUGACCUCUGUCUCCUUGGUAUAGGGAUGUCAGUAAGACAAUGGGCCCUUGAAGGGUAGUCCAAAGAGCUCCUCUUGAAAAGUGAAUCAUGAUCCUUUAAGGUUAAAGAUUACACCGUAAAAGGGUUUAUUUGUUUAUUCUUUUUUCCUGAGGACUUAAAAAGAAAUAGCCUCUUCCCUUGCGUGCUAUUUUCUUGUCCACCUCUGCUAUCUUCCCUUCACCACUACUUCAUUUCUUUUUGGAGAGAUCACAGAAAACUGUGUGUGUGUGUGUGUUUCUCAAGAAGCACUAGGAAAAAAGAUAGCCCCCUUAAAAUAGAAUUACUGGGAACAUAUCUCCUUAAAAGAAGCUGAGAUAACAGAUUUCAUUAAAAUUGCUUUAAUGGAAUUGAAGGGAACUCUAUCAUUAAGAUGUGUUUACAGAAAGUAAGUAGAAAGUGAUUUUAUUAUUGAAUGUUUCUAAAUAUAUCCACCCACUCCUCCUCAACCAAGUAAUGCAGGUUUGUGGUUCCAGGAGAACUCAUAUAAUAUCACUGAAGGGAGGGAGAGAGAUCCAAACUGACCGUGACUCAGCAAGGUCACUCCUUAAUUAGCCAAAGCAGAGACAAACCUAGAAUUUCCUACUUUCAUAGUGGAAUAAUGUUUUGAAAUAUUACAACUAUGCUUCUUUACCCCAUAUUUUCUGUUAAAUUCACCAUAAUUCUCUUUUAGGCAGUAAUGAAAUUUGCAUUUUUCCUCACCUAUUCUAUAGUCUGUAUGCAGAAAGAAUAGGUCAGAUUUUGGGUUUCAGAAUCAACUCUGAGUUUAAGGCAGAUAAAGUUCUGGGAAGUUGAGAGAUUCUGCUGGUUAUCUUGCUUUCCAGGGAGUCAGACCCAGGAGACAGGAUGUCUUUUACUAUGGCCAAUAUGUCUUAGCUAAUAGAAUGGCUGCAGGAGGUGCCCAGGCAGGUAUGGGUAGCUUAGGAAUGUCCUGUCCCUUUGCGGUAUGGAGUGCAAAGUUGCAGAAUGUUGCUGCUCAGAGCUGGAGAAGUUUCCCAGUUGGAACAAGGACAAUGAUGGUAGGCACCAGAUGGGAACAUGCAUGUCUUAGCAGAUGGAUUGCCAUAGCAUGAUCUUGGUUUAUUAAAUCUCCCUUUACAAAAGAAGUCCUUGUCAUAUGAAAUUGUGGCAAUUGUAAACAUAUUUGGGAAAUAAACGGAGGAUGAUUAGGUAAGUUAAUAUAGUAGAACCUUGAGUGCUUGGCAUGAGAUUUUGACUUGAUAUAUUUGGCAACUAGGAAUAAUUGAUGUUUUUCUGGAAGAGGAGUGACAAGAUGAAAAAAAAAAGGCUUAAAUUGAAAGACUGCAAAAGACACUGGGGGAACAAAGACUUUAGAUUUUUAAGGAUAUGCACAUGCAUGGCUCAAUAAAUGCCUAUUGAAUGAGAACAAGAAUAAUUCUCUUUCUUUAGUAUGCUCAGUGAAAUCUAAAAGUAUUCUGUGAAUUUAGGGCAGAUAUGAAGAAGGUUUUCUUGGUGGGAAAUUGCUACCUUAUGAAAUAGAAGCUGAGGGAAGAUUUUGGGAACUCACUGUGGUUUAGACUUUCUUCUAGCCUAAAUGUCAAAGGUAAUUUUUCUGACUUUUCAAUACUAAGAUAUAGAUAGAUAUACGUAUAUCUCUAUAGAUAGGUAUAAAUGUAUAGAUCUCUAUUUUUAUCUAUGUACAUAUAUAUAUUGAUAUUUAGACACAUACAGCUGCUAUGCUUUGGAUAUUGUUUGUGUCCUGCAAAGGCUCAUGUGUCAAAAGCUUGAUCCUUGUACUGGGGUUGUGGCUCAGCAGUAGAGUGCUUGCCUAGCACGUGUGAAGCCCUGGGUUCAAUCCUCAGAACCAUGUAAAAGUAAAUAAAGAAAACAAAGGUAUUGUAUCCAACUAAAAAAUAAAUAUUUUUUUAAAAAAAGUUUGAUCCUUGGUCUGAUGAUAGAACCAGAGGGGGUUAGAACCUUUAAGAGGUGAGGCCUAGUGGUAUGUAAUUAGGUCAUUGGAGCUCCACCUUCAGUAGGGACUAUUGCUGGUCUCAGAGAGUAAGUUAGCUUCUGCAGGAGAGAAAUAUUAUAAAGGAGCAAGCCUGGCCACUCCCUGGUCUAAGGUUUCUGUCAAGAAAAAAGUCUGGAAAUAGGACCUCAGUCUCCUUGGAAGAGGGGAGUCAGGAAGAAAAUUAGGCUAAGGCCCUGUUCUUCAAAGAGAGUUAUGAAUCUUUAAGAUUAAUUAAAGAUUAUCCUGCUAAAAGUUGUAUCUGUUUAUGCUGUUUCCCUUGCCACUCGAUCCCUCUUGUUUGCACUUCUGCCAUUGUGUUGCUGUCUACCUUGUGACCCUUGACAGAGCCCAGCAGGUGCCAGCGCCAUGCCCUUGAACCUCCAAAACUGUGAGCUAAGUGAAUCUUCUUUCUAUACAAAUCACCUAGUCUCAGCUAUUUUUUUAUAGAAACAGAAAGCAGAUUAAUACAAUGACUUAGUUAACUCUAUUAUGCCAAGUUGUUAAAAAAAAAAACAAAAAAACCUUACAUGAAAAGACACAAAACCACCUUAAAUGCAUGGCACUAUGUGAAAAAAAAAAAAACAGUGUGAAAAGACUAUAAACUAUAUGAUUCCAACUCUGUGACAUCCUGGAAAAGGUAAACUACAGAGAUAGUAACAAAACAAAAUUCCCAAAAACCAAAAAUCAGGGAUUGAGAGGGAUUGGGUGGAAGGAUUAAAUAGGUAGAGUACACAGGCGUUUUAGGGCAGCAAAGCUAUUUUGUAUCAUGCCAUAAUGGAAAGUAAACGUCAUUCAACAUUUUUUAACACCCAUAGACCUACACAACACAAAGACUGAAUUCUCAUGUUACCUUAGACUAACAGUAAUAUGUCUAUUGUUUCUUAUGUUAGUCACCAUUUUGUCAUACCACCAAUAUCAGAGAUAAACCAACUUACAGAAAUAGAAGGUUUAUUUUGGCUUCUGGCUCAAGACUUCUGUCCAUGCUCAGUUGGCUCUUUUAAUUUAGGUUUGUGGGAAGGCAGUUCAUUAUGGGAUAGAGCCCACGGUAGAGCAAAGCUGCUCAACUCAUCACCAAGAUUUGAAAGAGAGACACAUGAAGGACCUGGGGUUUCAAUAUUUCUUUCAAGGGCAUGUCCUUAAAGGAUACAGACCUUCAACCCAUUGACCUUCAAGGGUAUUUAUCUAAAUUAUAACAGUUCACAAUUGAAACAAAUGUAAGAUGUUUGUUAUAUGGAAACUGUGUAUGAGGGGAGGAAAGGGAAUAUAUAUAUAAACUAUAUUUUUUACUAUUUUUAUAAGCCUACGGUUUCUCUAAAAGCAGUCUAUUGAUUAAAAAAAACCCUGUAAAUCAUCAAGAUGUGGAGGGAUGAAGAUUUUUUUAAUUUAGGGUAUCAUCUUUUCUUUACUAGCCUAUGAGUGAAAACAGGUGCACUUCCCUUUCCUUACUAUUUAGGAAGGAUUGAGAGGAAUUGAACCAUUAUUCUUCUCUGUCAUAUAGAAAUAAAAAUGAAUUAUAGCAGUCAGUUUCUUUCUGCCUACUCUAAACUGGAAGAUAGAGAAGAAGAAAGACCCUUUCUAUGACUUUUCUCCCUGGAAAUUGGUGGCUUGGGUUCCUGGCAGUUAAAGCAGCACACAUGUGAGCAGGCAUAUGGAAAUCAAAGGGCAGAGUGCAGCUGAGUCCAGUCCCCACUUAAUAUUUUACAAAAGCAAGGCCCAGUAUUCAGAAGGAAAUGGAAGAGUCCCCCUCCCGUUAUCUUAUCUCUUAUCUUAGAUUGUACCUGCUUCUCCAGCAUUUCCCUGAGAUUUACUACAGGUUACUCUUAUCAUUCUUUGGGCAAGUGCUGGUUCUCUUGGUGCCUCCCUAGCCUGCUGUGUGAUGCCACAUGGUAUUUCCAGUUUGUAUUUCAUUCUUAUCCAGCUAUUAGAGCAGACCUAGCCUUCUGUUGAUUUUUUUUAACUUUGUUGGAAAUUGAGCAGAUGGAUUUGAAUUCCUAAUUUUCUGCAAAAAUGUGCCAAGUACUUGUUCCUUUGUUCCUUAUUUUCCUCUUGACCAAUUCCUUGUGGGUUUACAUUUAUCCUCUUUAAAGGUCUCUAACUGAUGAGUCUUAUCUCACAGUGUUCUAGGAAUAUCCUUGAAGGUUAAGUUCUCUAGGAUUAACUCCGCUGCCUUUUUGUUUUGUUUUUGGUACUGGGGAUUGAACUCAGGGAUACUUGACCACUGUGCCACAUCUCCAGCCCUAUUUUGUAUUUUAUUUCGAGACAGGGUCUCACCGAGUUGCUUUGCACCUCGCCAUUGCUGAGGCUGGUUUUGAACUUGUGAUCCUCCUGUCUCAGUCUCCCAAGCUUCUGGGAUUACAUGCACCACCACGCCUAGCCCCCUUUUGUUAUGAUACAUUAUCUCCUAGUUUCACACCCCUACUAUAUGUGGCACUUAAGAAAAGGAGAAUUGAAAGACAUAUUUACCUAGUGUUUUAUUGAGCACUAACUAUGAACCAGCUACUUUGAAAAAAUGUUUAAAGUAAAUAUUCUUAUUUAAUCUUCUUGAAUGACCCAAGAGGCGGGCUAAUCAUAUCAUUACAUAAUAGGGUAGUGAGACUAUCACAAAUUGACUUGCCCAAGGUCAAAUAACUAAGUGGUACAAUAAGGAGGCAAAUUCAUAUUUAACUUACUCUAAAAUAUUUUAUUUUAAUUAAGGAGCAUUGGCUUUAUAAUCUGAACAGAGUUAGGUUUGAGUAUAGAGUAAGGACAUGCAGGACUAUUGCUUAAACUGUAUUCAUCUGUAAAAUGGGGAUAAUUUUAAUUUAUUUUUAAUAUCAAUCUCAAAAUUAAGAGAGAUAAAGGAGAUAAGGUACUUGUACCAGGCCUGACAUAUAAUAUUUUGAGAAAUAUCAGGGUUUUUUUUUAUAUUAAAAGCUGCUAUUUUUAUUGAUGAUCAUAUAAUUCUUCUUGGGACAGAAAAGUAAACCAUACUAAACUCAUGUAUAGAAAUUGACACAUGUUACUAGAUCUCUGUCCUUUUGUUCUUAUAUAACAAAAUACCUGACACUGGGAAAUUUAUACAGGACAGAAAAUUAUUUUCCUCACAGUUCUGGAGGCUGGGAAGUCCACAUUCAAUGGGUUGGCAGGUUUAGCGGUUUGGUGAGGGCUGCUUUCUGCUUCCAGAAUGACACCUUGAUGCUGUGUCUUCCAGAGGGAAGAACAUUGUGUCCACACAUGGCAGAAGGCAGAAGGGCAAAAAGGAAUAAGCACCCUUCAUUAAGUCUUUUGGUAAGGACACCUAAUCCUAUUCAGGAGGGAGGAAGCCUCCUAGUCUGUCACCUCUUUACAGGCUCUCCUUAAAAUACUGUCACAAUGGCAACACCUAUAUUUUAGAAGGGACACAUUUAAACCAUAGCAUAUACCAAGCUCCAUAAGCUGUGAAGGAGGCCAGAUCUUGCAUUGUUGACAAUAUAGUCCUCUACUGACAUCUGAAAUCCCAUUUCCUAACCCUAUGGCCAAAAAGUUAUUUGAAGACCUGGUUGUUUUGGUCUCUUUCCUUAGAAUCUGUUUUUUUCUGGUCAGCAACUACCUAUACAAUUUAAUGCCAGACUUUCUUUUUUGGUCAGCACACCUGUCUGAAAGCUUCCUACUAGACUGAAGUGAUCUAUUUUCAAUCCUUAGUGAGACUCUCUUUGGAUUAAAGGUCAGGCAUCCACAUCUGCAGCUCUCACUGUCCUCCUUCAGCUGCCUGUGCAAAUAGCAAUGCUACAUUGACUUGUUUUGCUGUCUCGCUCCUGCCUCUCUGGCUCCCAGUCAGAUAUUAAGGCCUUAUGCUGGCUGGAUGCUUUCUUGCUUUUGUCUCUGGUUUUAGGAUUUGAAAUGCAGGAUACCCAGACCCAAAAUUAUUUAAACAAAACAAAAAUUAAAAACAAUACAAUCACAACCUUUAUUUGCACAUGGCAUAUGUGGUAUUUUAAAUUCUACAUAUGUUGAAAAUUUUUCUUGCUGUAAUAUAGUUUUUGUUUUCUUUGCUUUCUCAACCUUGGAAAGUGUGCCUUGUUUCUAGGAAACAGAAUUCAAAAUCCAAGUCAGUCUUUAGUAACUUAAUGGUCCUGGUGGGGGCAGGGAGAGUGGGCUCCAGUAGUUUCAUAAAUCCCAGUAUUUUAUUUUUCCAGGUUAGUAUAUGUGGAAGAAAUAUCUCAAUGUCUGCCAUGUGCCAGAGGAAACUCUUGUGGCACAGGUCAUCAAUUUGGAAAAUAGAAAAGGUCCAGGAGUCUGCAGGGCUGACAUAUAUAAGGAGAGUCAAGCUAACUCUGGUUACUCUUUUAAAAAAUAUUGGAACAAAGGAUUUAUAACAACAAGAUGUGAAAUCCAGCUCAAGUUAUGAAAGACUUUCCUGAUGAUUAGAAGAAUUUAAAAGUCUCUCUGAGAAAGAGUGUGUGUGUGUAAGAGAGAAAGAACUCAUUGCUGGAAAUUUGAAGCAGAGGCUGUGUGAUCUGAUGAAAAGUAAGCUAUAUAGAGCCUUUUCCAAUUUUUGCUUUCUAAAUUCUUUCGAGUAUUUAAAACUAUUGAACCACAUUGAAAUUAGAGAAAGGCUUUUAUAACUCAACUAACUUUGGCAAAUAAAUUUGUUUAUUUGUAUCCUAUAUUCAACCCCCUUCCAAAGGCAGGAGACUCUGACAUAUUGGCUUAUAAUACAUUAUAUUAUAUUGAGCACAUUGCUCAAUACACAUACAUCUUCAAACUUCCCUUGUCUCCAUCCGCCCAUCACCAAAUUCACCAAAUCUGCUCAAUUCAUCAAAUCAGUGUUCUUAAUAGCAGAUAACCAUACCUGAAGUCCUUUGCCUUAGAAUGCAUGUUAUUUUCUUAUUUUACUAUGCUGUUUUCAACUUAUACUUCUCUUUUUAUGCAGACUUGAAGAAGAUGGGAGGAAGACAUUUGUUGAGAAAGACACUGUUAGUUUCCUAUUCAGUAUGCUUUUCUCCUUUCUUUCUUUCUAACACAAUCCACAUUUUUGGCCCAUCUUCAGUAAUAAAAAUCAUGUUGUCAGACUCCUUUGCAGCUAGAGGAAGUUUCGUGAUACUGUGGAGAUUUAACUGGAAUUCUGCUGAGGAUUCUUCAAGGCCUAUUCCUACCUUGAGUGUGGAUUUGUGAUUGGAGCAAAGACAGCUAUCUUGAGGCCAUCAGAAGAAGGCUGAAUGGAUUAUAGAAUUAGCAGCCCUGAUAUUGGUGAUAUUAUAUUGAACAAGUAUCAAGAGUUGUCUCCCUCUGGACUUCUUGCUAGAUGACAAUAAAAAACUAUUCAUUUGUUUAAAUCACUACAUUUGGGUCUUCCACUACUUGAAAUUAAAAGUAUUGGUAAUUGAUAAUUUGCCUGUGGCCUUUAUUCAAUAGUCAACAACCACUAAUAGGGCUUGGGCCAUAACUUUAUACAAAGGUGAGUGAGACAUGGGCCCGACCUUCAGAGAGAUCUGAACCUCAGUCUCAAGGCUUAAAGAAGUCAGGCAACAACCCUAAUGGGAAAAGUGAAAUAUUCUGCUGUGUCUUUCCACAGCAUAAAUGGGCUAUAGAGCUAUGGGGUGUAUCUACUGGAAUGACUGGAGAGCUGCUGGGUCAGGAAGAAGCUCAUUUAACCUUGCACUCGAACUCUGCUCUCUUCAUGUACUUCUGAAGGUUGUGCUGAGGUAUUGGUGGCUUUGGGACUUGGUGAUUUAGCUGUUGAAAAGAAAGAGUUAUUGGCAUUGUUUACCCAGGUUUCAUGAGAAUGUUAAAUAGUACUAAUUUUCUGAGUAUUUAUUUAGCUUUGUUCGUUUAAAAGGUACAUUACCACUGUAAACUGUGAAUAUUUAGAGAUUUCUAUUUAAAAACCAUGUGAAUGCUCUUUGUAAGAUAUGUUUUCAAAGUGACAUUUUUUCCCAAAUACCUUUAUGGUCAUGUAUUAGUAUUUUCAGACAAAAUUAUAUAUAUAUAUAUAAAUGUGUGUGUGUGUCUAUAUAUGUAUAUAUAUAUUCUUUUCAAAACUCUAUGUAAAUGAUGUCUUUAAAAAUAGCCUCUAUAAAAUAAAAUCUUUAAAUAGAAAAAAAUCCCCAGAGGAAAUACACCAAAUGUUCAUCUAAUGCCAUUGAAUGUUGGGAUUUUAUGUGAUCAAGAAAAUCUUCUUUCUACUUUUCAGACUUUAUUCUAAUUUUAUUGUAAUUGGGAAGCAUUAUUUUUAUACUCUAAGAAGAACAAGUAUAAGGAAUUAUGUAUCAAGUAAUGACAAAUGAAUUGACAUAGAAACAGCAGAACCAUUUCAAUGUGUGUUUAUAUAAAUAGAUCUAUAUAAUUAUCAUUAAGUAUCAUAAGCUCAUACUGCUUAAAAAGAACAGUUCUAUUUACAUAAAUUGAAGUUGGAUUUUAUUACAAUAUACACUCAAUAAGUUAGAUCCUAUUCUAAAGAGAACAAGAUAAUGGUGAUAUUAAAGCCACUAUAUAUAA